UUUUUUUUUAUCUUUUCAAUAUCCGAUUUGACUUUAAGAUAACGUCAAAAAUCCAUCGAUUAUAUUAUGGAAGUUAUCGUGCUUACGGUACGAUUGACACACUGCGCGUGAGAACAAUUAUAAUAGUUAUCGGACGCGUAUUCGUUAUUAUAUUGUUAACCGUUGAACGUUUUACACAUCAUCAUAUUAUUUGAUUAAGCGAUUCAGCUUAUUUUCGCUAGGCGGUACAGCCUAGUAAAAUAACGUGACCGCAGUAUAUAAUUAUACGUACGUAUUGUCAAGGGUUUCAAAAAAUCUCGGUCAGGUAUAUAUAGGUAGGUUGGUACCGAAGGUUUAAUUUACGGGACGGACACGACCUUCUAUGGAAUGAAACAAAAAAAAAUAAAAAAAACACCCACUGCUCGCUGUAAUGCACGAGCAGCUACAUCAAAUCUGUCUAUAAAGACAUACUAGUCGUAAUGAAAAAAAAAAAAAAAAACAACCCAAAUACGUUACUAAUAAUAAUAAAGAAAGAAAAAACAAAUACCUAAUCUUUGUAAAUUCAAUUUAUACCUCAUUUAUUUAUCUUAAAAAAACUUGAGUACAGAAAAAAUGAUUAAUUUAUCCAAAUUAUACUAAUAAAUAUAAACUAAAUGUUUAUUUUACAUAAAUACUUUAUAUUUAAUUCAAGUACGUAAUAUAUUGAAUAUGGUAGUGCAGUAGUGUAACGUAGGAAUAAAUUUACAACCGGUGGGGAGUGUAGUAUAGUAGAAGAUAUUACGAAAUUUAGCUGAUUUGUUUUAAUUUGUUAAAAGAAAAUAAAAAACCGUAAAUUUACC